rnacentral:SRP_RNA from 1 species
GCCGGGCGUGGUGGCUCAUGCCUGUAAUCCCAGCACUUUGGGAGGCCGAGGCGGGAGGAUCACCUGAGGUCGGGAGUUUGAAACCAGCCUGACCAACAUGGAGAAACCCCGUCUCUA